rnacentral:rRNA from 1 species
AUUGAACGCUGGCGGCAGGCCUAACACAUGCGAGUCGAACGAAGUCUUCGGACUUAGUGGCGGACGGGUGAGUAACACGUGGGAACGUGCCCUUUGGUACGGAAUAACUCAGAGAAACUUGAGCUAAUACCGUAUGUGCCCUUCGGGGGAAAGAUUUAUCGCCAUUGGAGCGGCCCGCGUCUGAUUAGCUAGUUGGUGAGGUAAAGGCUCACCAAGGCGACGAUCAGUAGCUGGUCUGAGAGGAUGAUCAGCCACAUUGGGACUGAGACACGGCGCAAACUCCGACGGGAGGCAGCAGUGGGGAAUCUUGCGCAAUGGGCGAAAGCCUGACGCAGCCAUGCCGCGUGAAUGAUGAAGGUCUUAGGAUUGUAAAAUUCUUUCACCGGGUACGAUAAUGACGGUACCCGGAGAAGAAGCCCCGGCUAACUUCGUGCCAGCCGCCGCCGUAACAC